rnacentral:lncRNA from 1 species
AUUUUUUUAGUUUUUUGAUAUUUUUCUUUUAGUUAGGAGCACCGAAGGAGUAACCAUAAAAAAUUUGAGCUUAAACAAGUGAAAGACAUGGCCUGAGGACUUUUCUGAAGAUUGUGAAAAAUGUGAAAAAAACAUCGCGAGGUGAAAACUCAAAUUUCGGAGGUGAAUUUGGAGGUACUAAAAUUUUCAAACCCACCAAUGGAGGGGACGGACAGAUCCAAAUUUUUUUUCUGAUCGAUUUUGAUGUAUGGAACGUUGAAAUUGGAGUUCGUAUGCGAAAGUUAUGGCUAUUUUACGAACGCACUCUGAAUUAGAGGAUAAAACGGCGGUGGCUAGAAAUUGAUGGAAACGGUGGGGAAAAAGACAUGAACUGGACUCUAACAAGACCUAACCAACAACAAGACCUCAACCAGGACACAAAUUCAACACUGUGGUCUCUAAAACUGAAAUAUGCAAAGGAUAUGGCGCGGAAGGGUUGUAGGACAAGAAAAUGAUAUAGCACUGGACUUAUAGGGACAAACACAAGAACACUCGAAACUAAGGGUAGAUGUGAACCUAACGGUAUACCUAAAGCUUUGAUUACGACUUGAUGAGAACAAGGGUGGCCCGAUCUUCCGAAAGGUUCUAGUAACUCUUGAUUUGGUGGAGACGAGACACAAAUCGAUCCGGCUUCCAAACAACACGAUGCGAAACCCUGCAAUUUUUUUUAUUUUUUUGAUAUUUUUCUUUUAGUUAGAGCACCAAAGGAGUACCCACAGAAAAUUUGAGCUUAAACAAGUAAAAGACAUGGCCUGCUGAAUUUUCUGAAGAUUGUGAAAAAUGUAAAAAUAACUUCAUGAGGUAAAAACUCAAACUUCAGAGGUGAAUUUGGAGGUUCUAAAUUUUUCAAACCUUCCAAUGGAGGGGACAG